UUUAACGUGAUGAAACAAAUUUUACACAGACCUGUACUGAAUUCUCUUUUUUGAAUCAUGCAGAUAAACACUUUUGCCUUUUUUUCUGAUCAUUAUA
rnacentral:snoRNA from 1 species